CCGUUGCCGGCGACCGGCGCACGGGUGAGUAACACGUAUGCAACCUGCCCGUGGCAGGGGGGAUAAGCGGGGGAAACCCCGUCUAAUACCGCGUAACGCGGCCUAGGGACAUCCCAAGGCCGCCAAAGGGAGCAAUCCCGGCCACGGAUGGGCAUGCGGCGCAUUAGCUAGUCGGCGGGGUAACGGCCCACCGAGGCGACGAUGCGUAGGGGUUCUGAGAGGAAGGCCCCCCACACUGGUACUGAGACACGGACCAGACUCCUACGGAAGGCAGCAG
rnacentral:rRNA from 1 species